rnacentral:rRNA from 1 species
UGAGUAACGCGUAUGCAACUACCUAUCAGAGGGGAAUAACCGGCGAAAGUCGGACUAAUACCGCAUAAAACAGGGGCACCGCAUGGUGAUAUUUGUUAAAGAGAUUCGCUGAUAGAUGGGCAUGCGUUCCAUUAGGUAGUUGGUGAGGUAACGGCUCACCAAGCCGACGAUGGAUAGGGGAACUGAGAGGUUGGUCCCCCACACUGGUACUGAGACACGGACCAGACUCCUACGGGAGGCAGCAGUGAGGAAUAUUGGUCAAUGGGCGGGAGCCUGAACCAGCCAAGUCGCCGUGAAGGAAGAAGGAUCUAUGGUUCGUAAACUUCUUUUGCAGGGGAAUAAAGUGCAGGACGUGUCCUGUUUUGUAUGUACCCUGAGAAUAAGGAUCGGCUAACUCCGUGCCAGCCGCUGC